AGUGAACGCUGGCGGCGUGCCUAACACAUGCAAGUCGAACGAUGAUGGAGGAGCUUGCUCUUCCUGAUUAGUGGCGCACGGGUGAGUAUACCAUAGAUAAUGUGCCCCUUAGUUCGGGAUAGCCACUGGAAACGGUGAUUAAUACCGGAUACUCCUUCUCGCCAUAAGGUAAGUCGGGAAAGUUUUUUCGCUAAGGGAUCAGUCUAUGUCCUAUCAGGUAGUUGGUGAGGUAACGGCUCACCAAGCCUAUGACGGGUAUCUGGUUUGAGAGGAUGAUCAGACACACUGGAACUGAGACAUGGUCCAGACUCCUACGGGAGGCAGCAGUGAGGAAUAUUGCACAAUGGAGGAAACUCUGAUGCAGCAACGCCGCGUGGAGGAUGACGCAUUUCGGUGUGUAAACUCCUUUUAAGAGGGAAGAUUAUGACGGUACCUCUUGAAUAAGCACCGGCUAACUCCGUGCCAGCAGCCGCAGUAA
rnacentral:rRNA from 1 species